rnacentral:piRNA from 1 species
AUACAGAAGGAUUGUGUAAGCUGAAC